AACGCUAGCUACAGGCUUAACACAUGCAAGUCGAGGGGCAGCAUUACGGUAGCUUGCUACUGUAGAUGGCGACCGGCGCACGGGUGAGUAACGCGUAUCCAACCUGCCCAUGACUUGGGGAUAACCUUGCGAAAGCAAGCCUAAUACCCGAUACGCUUCAUAGAUGGCAUCUGAAAUGAAGUAAAGGUUUACGGUUAUGGAUGGGGAUGCGUCCGAUUAGCUUGUUGGCGGGGUAACGGCCCACCGAGCCGACGAUCGGUAGGGGUUCUGAGAGGAAGGUCCCCCACAUUGGAACUGAGACACGGUCCAAACUCCUACGGGAGGCAGCAGUGAGGAAUAUUGGUCAAUGGACGUAAGUCUGAACCAGCCAAGUAGCGUGCAGGAUGACGGCCCUAUGGGUUGUAAACUGCUUUUAUGCGGGGAUAAAGUGAGGGACGCGUCCCUUUUUGCAGGUACCGCAUGAAUAAGGACCGGCUAAUUCCGUGCCAGCAGCCGCGGUAAUACGGAAGGUCCGGGCGUUAUCCGGAUUUAUUGGGUUUAAAGGGAGCGUAGGCUGGAGAUUAAGCGUGUUGUGAAAUGCCGCGGCUCAACCGUGGCACUGCAGCGCGAACUGGAGGCCUUGAGUGCGCGGGAGGUAGGCGGAAUUCGUGGUGUAGCGGUGAAAUGCUUAGAUAUCACGAAGAACUCCGAUUG
rnacentral:rRNA from 1 species